GUCAAAUCUCCUGUGCCCAUAAUUCACCAUACAUACAGAUGCAGGAUCUUAAUUUGAUCCAGUUUGCUUCAACAGGAAAAUAAUCCUACAGCAAGAGGAAAUGUGAAUUAUUAUGUUUAUUAUAAUUUAUGGACAUUUUUGUCAGGGUUGAUACAUUUUUCUUAAGGGAAAAUCAAGUCUGAAAUUUCAACGAGGAAAGACAAACAUCAGAAGCCUUUUUAAAUCUCAAAUACACUACAAGUUUUACAUUUCCUGCAUUGCAUGAAAGUUAUCCUGCAACAGGGUUUUCAAAUUAAGAUCCUACAUCUGUACUUGAUAUUUGUGUAUUUUUCCCAUAAUUUAUUCUCAUGAUAAGCAUUACUUGUGUGUCUAUGUUAUAGAUGCUUUCCCAGCUGACUGUUCUGAUGAUAACUGGCUACAUUCUACUCAGUCUGACCUCCAUUGGCUUCAUCAUUGACCAAAGGUCAACGGCAUCCAUGUUGGAGCUGCUGCGCUGUGUUCUGAUGGUGAUGCUGCUGCGAUACGGCUACAUGAUGGCACCAGCACCACUGCUUGUGCCCAUUAAGGUAGGAGACUGACCGUGCUGCUCCUACAAAACUUUUAGAACCCCCUUUUGGAGAAUGAUACAAUAAGCUAAUCUAACAUUUACAACACAAAUUCUUCAAGAGGUGUGAUAACUUGGUAUGCUACUGUAAUGUGAAGCUAGAGAUAUUUAUCAUUGUCCCAAACAUAUUACUAGGAAAUACAGACAUACUGUACGUGACAAUGA
rnacentral:lncRNA from 8 species